GAUGAACGCUAGCGGCAGGCUUAAUACAUGCAAGUCGAACGGUAACAGGUCCAGCAAUGGAUGCUGACGAGUGGCGCACGGGUGCGUAACACGUAUGCAACCUACCUUUAACUAAGGAAUAGCCCCGAGAAAUCGGGAUUAAUACUUUAUAAAAUUAUGAAAGGGCAUCUUUUUAUAAUUAAAGUUCAGGCGGUUAAAGAUGGGCAUGCGCGACAUUAGCUAGUUGGUAAGGUAACGGCUUACCAAGGCUGCGAUGUCUAGGGGUUCUGAGAGAAUUAGCCCCCACACCGGUACAGAGACACGGUCCAGACUCCAACGGGAGGCAGCAGUAAGGAAUAUUGGGCAAUGGACGCAAGUCUGACCCAGCCAUGCCGCGUGCAGGAUGAAUGCCCGAUGGGUUGUAAACUGCUUUUAUCCGGGAAAAAACUCCCGGUCGUGUACCGGGAUUAAUGGUACUGUAAGAAUAAGGAUCGGCUAACUCCGUGCCAGCAGCCGCAGUAACAC
rnacentral:rRNA from 1 species